AAUAAUCGCCAGGGUAUCUAUGGCCGGGCUCAGGCGGCUGCUGGGGAGCCAGGAGACCGCGCGGGACGGCGGAUGAGGCGCGGCGGCUGCGGCCCAGGGCACCUCCCCUCUGGCUUCCCGAACCCGGCCAGGUCCGACCCGAGGGGGAGGAUGGAAACACCUGCCGCGCUCUGAGCCCCCCAGAAGAGAACACCCUUCCCGCCAUAUCACCCCACGGUCCUGCGGAGGCCACCGCCUGGUCCCCCCAAGUCUCCAUCGCGCAGCGUGGGGCCGAGAGGAAUAGUGAGCGAUGGCGGAAAACCUGAAAAGACUGGUCUCAAACGAAACUUUACGAACGUUGCAGGAAAAGCUAGACUUCUGGCUGAAGGAGUACAACUCUGGUUGAAACUGAAAAGAAUCUUGAAGAAAGCAAGAACAGAUCGGCCAUAUCCCUUUUGGCUGCAGAGGAGGAAAUAAAUCAGCUGAAAAAGCAGCUUAAAUCUCUUCAAGCUCAGGAGGAUGCCCGCCACAGAAACACAGAUCAGAGGAGCUCAGAGAAUAGGCGGUCAGAGCCUUGGAGCUUGGAGGAG
rnacentral:lncRNA from 1 species